GAUGAACGCUGGCGGCGUGCCUAAUACAUGCAAGUCGAGCGAACGGACGAGAAGCUUCCUUCUCUGAUGUUAGCGGUGGACGGGUGAGUAACACGUGGAUAACCUACCUAUAAGACUGGGAUAACUUCGGGAAACCGUAGCUAAUACCGGAUAAUAUUUUGAACCGCAUGGUUCAAAAGUGAAAGACGGUCUUGCUGUCACUUAUAGAUGGAUCCGCGCUGCAUUAGCUAGUUGGUAAGGUAACGGCUUACCAAGGCAACGAUGCAUAGCCGACCUGAGAGGGUGAUCGGCCACACUGGAACUGAGACACGGUCCAGACUCCUACGGGAGGCAGCAGUAGGGAAUCUUCCGCAAUGGGCGAAAGCCUGACGGAGCAACGCCGCGUGAGUGAUGAAGGUCUUCGGAUCGUAAAACUCUGUUAUUAGGGAAGAACAUAUGUGUAAGUAACUGUGCACAUCUUGACGGUACCUAAUCAGAAAGCCACGGCUAACUACGUG
rnacentral:rRNA from 1 species